GACGAACGCUGGCGGCGUGCUUAACACAUGCAAGUCGAACGGAAAGGCCCUGCUUGCCGGGUACUCGAGUGGCGAACGGGUGAGUAACACGUGGGUGAUCUGCCCUGCACUUCGGGAUAAGCCUGGGAAACUGGGUCUAAUACCGGAUAGGAGCCAUUUUUAGUGUGAUGGUUGGAAAGUUUUUUCGGUGUAGGAUGAGCUCGCGGCCUAUCAGCUUGUUGGUGGGGUAAUGGCCUACCAAGGCGGGGACGGGUAGCCGGCCUGAGAGGGUGGACGGCCACAUUGGGACUGAGAUACGGCCCAGACGCCUACGGGAGGCAGCAGUGGGGAAUAUUGCACAAGGGGCGCAAGCCUGAUGCAGCGACGCCGCGUGGGGGAGGACGGCCUUCGGGUUGUAAACGCCUUUCGCUAGGGACGAAGCUUUUUGUGACGGUACCUAGAUAAGAAGCACCGGCUAACUACGUG
rnacentral:rRNA from 1 species